UCCCCCUUUUUGUCAUCAUACCAAAAAGGAGGUAAUCACACACAAUCAAUGGCACAACCAAUCAUCAAAUGGCACAGAAAUGAAGAUAAGAUGUCUACUCAUUGUAUUGAUAUGAAUGUGAAUACAUUUGAGCAUACAAUACGUAAAGCAAAGCAAUACAAAACAAAGCAAAAAGAACAUCUAUGGUCUCCUCGAGGAUGAAGCUCCCCCUCUCGAGGAUGCAUCUCCUCCUCUGGAGGAUGUGGCUCCUCCUCUCGAGGAUGGUGCUCCUCCUCUCAAUCGGCUCUGCUCCAUGAGGAGGGUGACUGCAUCUGUCACAUGUCCAAGCUGCGUGAUAAUAGACGUGGUGGCUCUGCUAUGUGUAGUGGAGAGCUC
rnacentral:lncRNA from 1 species